UACGUAGGGCGCAAGCGUUGUCCGGAAUUAUUGGGCGUAAAGAGCUCGUAGGCGGUUUGUCGCGUCUGCUGUGAAAACCUAAGGCUCAACCUUGGGCUUGCAGUGGGUACGGGCAGACUAGAGUGCGGUAGGGGUGACUGGAAUUCCUGGUGUAUCGGUGGAAUGCGCAGAUAUCAGGAGGAACACCGAUGGCGAAGGCAGGUCACUGGGCCGCAACUGACGCUGAGGAGCGAAAGCAUGGGGAGCGAACAGG
rnacentral:rRNA from 1 species